GACGAACGCUGGCGGCGUGCUUAACACAUGCAAGUCGAACGGAAAGGCCCUGCUUUUGUGGGGUGCUCGCGUGGCGAACGGGUGAGUAACCCGUGAGUAACCUGCCCUUGACUUUGGGAUAACUUCAGGAAACUGGUGCUAAUACCGGAUAGGUGCUCCUGCUGCAUGGUGGGGGUUGGAACGUUUCGGCGGUUGGGGAUGGACUCGCGGCUUAUCAGCUUGUUGGUGGGGUAGUGGCUUACCAAGGCUUUGACGGGUAGCCGGCCUGAGAGGGUGACCGGCCACAUUGGGACUGAGAUACGGCCCAGACUCCUACGGGAGGCAGCAGUGGGGAAUAUUGCACAAUGGGCGGAAGCCUGAGGCAGCAACGCCGCGUGCGGGAUGACGGCCUUCGGGUUGUAAACCGCUGUCGCCUGUGACGAAGCGUGAUUGACGGUAAUGGGUAAAGAAGCACCGGCUAACUACGUG
rnacentral:rRNA from 1 species